AACGAACGCUGGCGGCAGGCUUAACACAUGCAAGUCGAACGCAUCGCAAGAUGAGUGGCAGACGGGUGAGUAACGCGUGGGAACAUACCCUUUUCUACGGAAUAGCUCUGGGAAACUGGAAUUAAUACCGUAUACGCCCUACGGGGGAAAGAUUUAUCGGGGAAGGAUUGGCCCGCGUUGGAUUAGCUAGUUGGUGGGGUAAAGGCCUACCAAGGCGACGAGCCAUAGCUGGUCUGAGAGGAUGAUCAGCCACAUUGGGACUGAGACACGGCCCAAACUCCUACGGGAGGCAGCAGUGGGGAAUAUUGGACAAUGGGCGCAAGCCUGAUCCAGCCAUGCCGCGUGAGUGAUGAAGGCCUUAGGGUUGUAAAGCUCUUUCACCGAUGAAGAUAAUGACGGUAGUCGGAGAAGAAGCACCGGCUAACUACGUGCCAGCCGCCGCCGUAACAC
rnacentral:rRNA from 1 species